rnacentral:lncRNA from 1 species
AUCAAGCGAUCCUCCCACCUGGGCCUCCCAAAGUGUUGAGAUUACAGCAUGAGCCACCACACCCAGACUAAAAGGCAGUUUGAUUUUACAAAUCAAAAUAGCAGUAAUCUAUGGAGAUUUACUUGUGAGAUUGGUAGGAAACAUCUUAAAUGUAAUCAAACAAUAAAUUACAUCUUGAUGAAUUCAUGUAUAGGUUUCUCUUCCUCAGAAGAAAUCAGAUGCCGUUCAAAGCACCAAGGCUAGAAUUUUACCCUGGUUCUCGUGCUACGCUGCACCCAGGUUGGAUCCUGAGUACAGUUUUUGGCAGGUGGGCCUGCAUAUAAGUUAGCAAUGGGGGAUACCCAGCUGCCCCUCUUCAUACAGCUGAGGUUUUGGGGAGUCAUUCUUAUAGCCCCUGGGUUGGGCCUAGUCCUGCAAAUGAAUUCACCAGCCCUAAAGCCCAAAUUGCAGCCUCUGUCAUUCGCCUUCCAGGAGUGGGAAGGGCAAUAAGUUUCAUCUUAUUAUUAUUGCUAUUUUGGUGGUUUUGUUGAGGUUGGUGUGUGUAUGUUAGUAAGAUAAAGCUCUCAGAAAUUACAUAGCAUUUGUCAAGGAUAUAAGAGGGACUGUGCCACUUCUGGCUGUAUAGAAGGUGGUUCCAUGUCUUUAAAUAGAGCCCCAGGUCCUUAGCCACCAGAAAGGUUUUCAGGGGAAGUGUGCACCCUCAGCAGCUGCUGCUGGUGGGCAGGAUGGGCACACAUGGAACAGGCUUUCCUCUGUGGCCAGGUGAGAAGCAGGUGGUGAGACACAGAGCAGUGCUGGGCUCUGCUUCUGAAGCCUCCAACCUUUCCUUCCCUAGGAAGCCCCAGAGAGAUUGGUAAGGGUGAUUUCCCAGGAAGACGCAGUGUGCUCUGACUUCUGUGACAGCGAGCAGCGGGACCAAUGGAUGUCCAGAUGCUGGCAAUGAGUAGGCCUUCCCUACGCUGGGUGGCGUCCACACCCUCUGGCUUCCAUUGCCUGGGUCUCCUGGAGGUGGUUUGCUGGAUGAAUACUGCAUGCACAGAGGCUGGCCUUGGGUUUGAAUAUGGCGGCCCGUGGACAGCAUGUGCUUCAGUUAUGAGGCUGCCCAGGAGAUGCUUCUUCCAAGGCAGAGCAUGUGGAGUCCAGUGCUGGAGAGGCCGGGUGCGCAGUUGACCCAUUUCCAGUUCUAUUUUCCCUCUCAUGUUCCUCUGUCCCCAUCUAGGACAUGCUCUGGAGUCAGAAGACGGCGAAAAGAGAAGCAGAAGCCUCGGUGGCAAGAGUCCGAAGCAGGACGCAAUCACUGUAACCUGUGGAUUGUACUGCAGUAGGAAACUAUCCUAGCGAGGCUCUGCUUUGCCCCAGCUUCAAGCUGGAAAGGAGGAGAACAUGAAACGUUGCUUGAAGACAAUGGCCGAGACAGCAGGUCCCACCCUGCACAGCCACCAGCAUCUCUCCCCUCAGCCCUGUCUCCUCUUCUGCAGUUGGGAUCUGCACAUUUAAGCCCCAAAUUGUCCUGUGAAGUGAAGUAUGAUCGGACAGCCUCUUUUCAGCUUUUAUGAAAAUGGAGACAGAGGAAUUGUGGCUCUUGCCAAGGUCACAGGAUUGGAAUGCAGAGCCAAGCCACCCCAGGACAUGCAAGAGCCUCAGAAGGGAAAAAGCCCAGCAGGAAGGGAGAACAAGUAGCCUCUGUCCUGAGGUUGUAACAGCCAAGGGCCAGGAUGGAGGAGGAGGACCCCAUGAUCUGCCCAUCUGGCACUUGGCAGGGGACCUGGGAAAAUGUACCCCAACCCAUCCCUCAAGGGCCUUUGCCUUUGGCCCACUGGCCUAGCAUCUCCUUCUUCACCAUGUCUGUUCUUGUCACACCUAGUCAGGUCUGUUUGGGUCUGAGGUGCAUGGAACAUUCUGGGUAGGCCUCCAGCAAAUGGAAGCUCUUCACCGUGUUUCCAGCCUGGGACCAAGGGCAGCACACUGGCAAAGUUGCCAAAGCAAGGGACUCCAGCCUUUUAGGAGUUAAUGACUCCCUCUCCCCAGCUGUCCUCCCCUUAGUGCUCCUCUUCCUCCCUCCUCCUGCUCACAGCAGGCAGGGCCUAGACCCAGGAGCCAUGCUGCUGUGCUGUUGCCAGGGGAGCACGGAGGCAGAUCUGAGCUAUGCAGGGAAAAGGCCCGGCCUGUCAAAGUGUCUGAGAUGAACCGCUGCCGUCCCUGUGCAGCUGGGCUCAGACGUGUCUCAGCUCUUGUUCUGUGCCUGAGAAUGGCAAAACCCAGUGAGGUUCAAGGGCAAACUCGCUAUUCAUUAGUCAGGGGUUCUUGACGUCCCGUCUCUCCCAGGGAUGAGUUCCCCCCUCCUCUUUCUUCCCCUCCUGUGACACAUUCCUGGGUGCCUUUGGUGAGGACUGCACACCCUCCUCCUGCCUAGCCCCCUCUCCGAAGGCCCCUGAAUAAACUCCCCCCAAGGAGACCAGGCAGGGCAGAGACAAUGGCUGCAGGAAAUCAUUCAUGCGGGACAUGCUGGCCGGCCCUCCACCCAGUCCCCCUGUGGGCCCCACGCCCUUCUGAUUCAGGGCACCCUUGGGCCCCCAGCCUAUACAGGCCUGGACAGGAAGAAACCACUGGGAACCACCCUAAGGACAUACAUGCUAGUCCAGUGCCAUUCUUCGCUGGCUCUGUGGGUGCCUUUGUGGCCUGUACCGACUGGCUGGCUAAUUUUGUGGUUUCUGUAC